GGUCAUGCUACAAGAAGCAUCCUUCUGCUCACACUGGUGAUGACUGUGAUGUCUGCAGAAAAAGAAGAAUUUGUGCGAGCUCUGUAACAAGUGAGGGGAGAGUGUGGUCGCCUGCUCCUGUAUAACAAAGCUCUGCCAUGCAAGACAGCUCACUGGCACUGACCUGGCACAUAGCUGUGAGACGAGUGACCUGAGACAGAGAUCAAAUACAGCAGAUUAUUCCUGGGUGAACGGAGGUGAGGAAUGUGUUGGAAGUGAUAUGAGAAAGCCCUACGAUGCCCUGAAAUGGCCAGAAAUAGUCCCUCCAUUGCUGGGAGCAAUGGGAAGAGACUGAAGAGGAAAGAGUAUAUUAGAUUAGUCCAAAAGAUCUGGCUUUUUCUGUCACUAUAUGGAAGGAAGUAGAGGAAAACAUGGUGGGAAUCAGGAUGAUGUGGGAUUUGGGACUCUUGAGUAGACUCAGCAAGAACAAACUUUCCCACAGUACCACAAAGCCCAUAGCAUGCUUUUCCUAACAAAUAACAUGUCUUUCCUUCUCUCCUAUUCUACCCCAGAAUUUAAUUUCAGUUCAAACACCACAUUCUGUUCUCAUCUGAAAAAAAAAACAUUAUGAAAGUGCAGCACUGGCUUCAAAUGGCAUCUACAAAUGGAAAAUUUUGAUUGAAAUGUUUCAGCUGUAAACCACAAUGGGGCUUGGUAGCCUGGAAACCCUGGAAACUCCCAAGUGAAUCAUCA
rnacentral:lncRNA from 1 species